rnacentral:lncRNA from 1 species
AUUCUAAUAAGGUAUAUCUUGUAAACUAAAUAGAAAUCUCCCAAAGGAAAUGGAAGUGGUUUUUCUUUUAUCUUCACAGGAAAACUCAUCUACAGAAGGCAAAGGAAACCGCAUGGGUAGAUACUUAAGAAGAGAAGUCCCACACAGCCAACGAAGACCUGCCUGACAGAAAUCCCUGGACACCCGUAAAGAAAAUGGGCCACACCUCCUCAACUGCAUUGGAUCCAAC